GAUGAAGAACGUAGCGAAAUGCGAUAAGUAAUGUGAAUUGCAGAAUUUAGUGAAUCAUCGAAUCUUUGAACGCAUAUUGCGCCCGCCAGCACUCUGGCGGGCAUGCCUGUUCGAUCGUCAUUUCAACCCUCAGGCCUCGCGUCUGGCGUUGGGGCGCUGCGGCCCUCCCGCAGGCCCCCAAAUCUAGCGGCGGAUCCGCCGCGGCCCUGAGCGCAGUACAUCUCGCGCUUUGCACUCAUAACGACAGCGUCCAAAAGUACAUUUUACACUCUUGACCUCGGAUCAGGUAGGGAUACCCGCUGAACUUAAGCAUAUCAAUAAGCGGAGGA
rnacentral:misc_RNA from 1 species